AAAUUGAAGAGUUUGAUCAUGGCUCAGAUUGAACGCUGGCGGCAGGCCUAACACAUGCAAGUCGAGCGGUAGCACAGAGAGCUUGCUCUCGGGUGACGAGCGGCGGACGGGUGAGUAAUGUCUGGGAAACUGCCUGAUGGAGGGGGAUAACUACUGGAAACGGUAGCUAAUACCGCAUAACGUCGCAAGACCAAAGUGGGGGACCUUCGGGCCUCAUGCCAUCAGAUGUGCCCAGAUGGGAUUAGCUAGUAGGUGGGGUAAUGGCUCACCUAGGCGACGAUCCCUAGCUGGUCUGAGAGGAUGACCAGCCACACUGGAACUGAGACACGGUCCAGACUCCUACGGGAGGCAGCAGUGGGGAAUAUUGCACAAUGGGCGCAAGCCUGAUGCAGCCAUGCCGCGUGUGUGAAGAAGGCCUUCGGGUUGUAAAGCACUUUCAGCGGGGAGGAAGGCGUUAAGGUUAAUAACCUUGGCGAUUGACGUUACCCGCAGAAGAAGCACCGGCUAACUCCGAGCCAGCAGCCGCGGUAAUACGGAGGGUGCAAGCGUUAAUCGGAAUUACUGGGCGUAAAGCGCACGCAGGCGGUCUGUCAAGUCGGAUGUGAAAUCCCCGGGCUCAACCUGGGAACUGCAUUCGAAACUGGCAGGCUAGAGUCUUGUAGAGGGGGGUAGAAUUCCAGGUGUAGCGGUGAAAUGCGUAGAGAUCUGGAGGAAUACCGGUGGCGAAGGCGGCCCCCUGGACAAAGACUGACGCUCAGGUGCGAAAGCGUGGGGAGCAAACAGGAUUAGAUACCCUGGUAGUCCACGCCGUAAACGAUGUCGAUUUGGAGGUUGUGCCCUUGAGGCGUGGCUUCCGGAGCUAACGCGUUAAAUCGACCGCCUGGGGAGUACGGCCGCAAGGUUAAAACUCAAAUGAAUUGACGGGGGCCCGCACAAGCGGUGGAGCAUGUGGUUUAAUUCGAUGCAACGCGAAGAACCUUACCUGGUCUUGACAUCCACAGAACUUAGCAGAGAUGCUUUGGUGCCUUCGGGAACUGUGAGACAGGUGCUGCAUGGCUGUCGUCAGCUCGUGUUGUGAAAUGUUGGGUUAAGUCCCGCAACGAGCGCAACCCUUAUCCUUUGUUGCCAGCGGUCCGGCCGGGAACUCAAAGGAGACUGCCAGUGAUAAACUGGAGGAAGGUGGGGAUGACGUCAAGUCAUCAUGGCCCUUACGACCAGGGCUACACACGUGCUACAAUGGCAUAUACAAAGAGAAGCGACCUCGCGAGAGCAAGCGGACCUCAUAAAGUAUGUCGUAGUCCGGAUUGGAGUCUGCAACUCGACUCCAUGAAGUCGGAAUCGCUAGUAAUCGUAGAUCAGAAUGCUACGGUGAAUACGUUCCCGGGCCUUGUACACACCGCCCGUCACACCAUGGGAGUGGGUUGCAAAAGAAGUAGGUAGCUUAACCUUCGGGAGGGCGCUUACCACUUUGUGAUUCAUGACUGGGGUGAAGUCGUAACAAGGUAACCGUAGGGGAACCUGCGGUUGGAUCACCUCCUUA
rnacentral:rRNA from 1 species